rnacentral:rRNA from 1 species
GACAGAGGUCCCGAGCGUUAGGCGGAAUCACUGGGCUUAAAGCGUGUGUAGGCGGCGGCCUAAGUACCUUGUGAAAUCCCACGGCUCACCCGUGGAACUGCUCGGUAUACUGGGUCGCUUGAGCCACUUAGGGGCUACCGGAACAAAUGGUGGAGCGGUGAAAUGCGUAGAUAUCAUUUGGAACGCCAAUGGUGAAAACAGGUAGCUGGGAGUGUGCUGACGCUGAGACACGAAAUCCAGGGGAGCAAACGGG